rnacentral:rRNA from 1 species
AUUGAACGCUGGCGGCAUGCUUUACACAUGCAAGUCGAACGGCAGCGCGGGCUUCGGCCUGGCGGCGAGUGGCGAACAGGUGAGUAAUACAUCGGAACGUGCCCAGUAGGGGGGGAUAGCUCGGCGAAAGCCGGAUUAAUACCGCAUACGACCUGAGGGUGAAAGCGGGGGAUCUUCGGACCUCGCGCUAUUGGAGCGGCCGAUGGCAGAUUAGCUAGUUGGUGGGGUAAAGGCCUACCAAGGCGACGAUCUGUAGCUGGUCUGAGAGGACGACCAGCCACACUGGGACUGAGACACGGCCCAGACUCCUACGGGAGGCAGCAGUGGGGAAUUUUGGACAAUGGGCGAAAGCCUGAUCCAGCAAUGCCGCGUGUGUGAUGAAGGCCUUCGGGUUGUAAAGCACUUUUGGCGGGAACGAAAAGGACUGUGCCAAUACCACGGUUCGAUGACGGUACCCGCAGAAUAAGCACCGGCUAACUACGUG